AUGAACGCUAGCGACAGGCCUAACACAUGCAAGUCGAGGGGCAGCACAAGGAGCAAUCUGAGGUGGCGACCGGCGCACGGGUGAGUAACACGUAUGCAACCUGCCUGUAAGCGGGGAAUAACCCGUUGAAAGACGGACUAAUACCGCAUAAUACUAAAUUACUGCAUGGUAAUUUAUUUAAACAUUUAUGGCUUACAGAUGGGCAUGCGCAUGAUUAGCUAGUUGGAGAGGUAACGGCUCCCCAAGGCAACGAUCAUUAGGGGUUCUGAGAGGAAGGUCCCCCACACUGGUACUGAGACACGGACCAGACUCCUACGGGAGGCAGCAGUGAGGAAUAUUGGUCAAUGGACGAGAGUCUGAACCAGCCAAGUCGCGUGCAGGAAGAAUGUCCUAUGGAUUGUAAACUGCUUUUGCAGGGGAAUAAAGUGCAUCGCGUGUGAUGUUUUGUAUGUACUCUGCGAAUAAGGAUCGGCUAACUCCGUGCCAGCAGCAGC
rnacentral:rRNA from 1 species